rnacentral:rRNA from 1 species
UACGGGGGGGGGCAAGCGUUGUUCGGAUUUACUGGGCGUAAAGGGCGCGUAGGCGGCAAUUCAAGUCAUCUGUGAAAUCUCCGGGCUUAACUCGGAACGGUCAGAUGAUACUGCUUUGCUAGGGUGCGGAAGGGGCAAUCGGAAUUCUCGGUGUAGCGGUGAAAUGCGUAGAUAUCAAGAGGAACACCUGAGGCGAAGGCGGGUUGCUAGGCUGACACUGACGCUGAAGCGCGAAAGCCAGGGGAGCAAACGGG